rnacentral:miRNA from 1 species
AACUAUUCCCUUUCUGAGUAGA